AUAAGACUGGGAUAACUCCGGGAAACCGGGGCUAAUACCGGAUAACAUUUUGAACCGCAUGGUUCGAAAUUGAAAGGCGGCUUCGGCUGUCACUUAUGGAUGGACCCGCGUCGCAUUAGCUAGUUGGUGAGGUAACGGCUCACCAAGGCAACGAUGCGUAGCCGACCUGAGAGGGUGAUCGGCCACACUGGGACUGAGACACGGCCCAGACUCCUACGGGAGGCAGCAGUAGGGAAUCUUCCGCAAUGGACGAAAGUCUGACGGAGCAACGCCGCGUGAGUGAUGAAGGCUUUCGGGUCGUAAAACUCUGUUGUUAGGGAAGAACAAGUGCUAGUUGAAUAAGCUGGCACCUUGACGGUACCUAACCAGAAAGCCACGGCUAACUACGUGCCACCCCCCCCCGGGUAAAAAAA
rnacentral:rRNA from 1 species